rnacentral:rRNA from 1 species
AGAUUGAACGCUGGCGGCAUGCCUUACACAUGCAAGUCGAACGGCAGCACGGGAGCAAUCCUGGUGGCGAGUGGCGAACGGGUGAGUAAUAUAUCGGAACGUGCCCAGUCGUGGGGGAUAACGCAGCGAAAGCUGUGCUAAUACCGCAUACGAUCUAUGGAUGAAAGCGGGGGGUCGCAAGACCUCGCGCGAUUGGAGCGGCCGAUAUCAGAUUAGCUAGUUGGUGGGGUAAAAGCCUACCAAGGCGACGAUCUGUAGCUGGUCUGAGAGGACGACCAGCCACACUGGAACUGAGACACGGUCCAGGCUCCUACGGGAGCAGCGAGGUGGGGAAUUUUGGACAAGUGGGCGCAAGCCUGAUCCAGCGAUCGCCGCGUGCAGGAUGGAAGGUCCGUUGGUUAGUAACUUGUCGUUU